rnacentral:rRNA from 1 species
UACGUAGGGGGCAAGCGUUGUCCGGAUUUAUUGGGCGUAAAGAGCGUGUAGGCGGCCUGACAGGUCUGCUGUGAAAACUCGAGGCUCAACCUCGAGAUGUCGGCGGAAACCGUCUGGCUAGAGUCCGGAAGAGGAGAAUGGAAUUCCCGGUGUAGCGGUGAAAUGCGCAGAUAUCGGGAGGAACACCGGUGGCGAAGGCGGUUCUCUGGGCCUGUACUGACGCUGAGGAGCGAAAGCGUGGGGAGCGAACAGG